ensembl:misc_RNA Metazoa_SRP Metazoan signal recognition particle RNA
GCUGGGCGCAGUGUCACAUGCCUGUAGUCCCAGCUACUCGGGAGGCUGAGGUGGGAAAAUUGCUUGAGCCCAGGAGUUCUGGGCUGUAGUACACUAUGCUGAUCAGGUGUCUGUAUUAAGUUCGGCCUUAAUAUGGUGACCUCCCGGGAUCAGGGGACCACCAGGUUGCCUAAGGAGGGGUGAACCGGCCCAGGUCAGAAACGGAGCAGGUCAAAACUUUCAUGCUGAUCAGUAGUGGAAUUGCGCCUGUGAAUAGCCACAACACUUCAGCCUGGGCAACAUAGCGAGACCCCGUCUCUU